CCUUCGUCUUACUUUUUGAGAAGAAAAUUCUGGUUUAGGAAGAGUUACCUCAUGUAGACGUCUUUCUCUCUGCUCAUGUAAAUUCAUGUAAAUCGCUUUCAAUACUAGAUCAGAAAAUUCAUGUAAAUUGCUUUCAAUACCUGCACAAAUUUCUUGUAGACGUGUUUCUCUCUGCUUCGUUCCUUCUUUAUCAUCUCUAGAAUCCUGGCUCACUAUGCAAAAUCCCAUCUUGACCACUUGCUCCUGAGUCCUGAUAGAGCUUGGCUUGGUAUGGAGAUUCUGAUUUCUGCUGUGGCAGGUGAACUUAUCAGCCGGUUCAUCUCUUCGCUACAACAAUAUUACAGCAACCACACAAGCGAGGAAGAUGAUCGUACAAGGUUGCAGCGGAUCUUGCUCAGGAUGCACUCUGUUGUUGAGGAGGCAGAAGGACGCCACAUCACAAACCAGGGGAUGCUCCUACAGCUAAAGGGACUUAUCGAGGGAUUCUACCAUGGUUACCACAUUCUCGACAAGGUCACCUUCCAACCCCCAGAAGAAGAGAGCAUCAAAGAUGAGGUGAUUCACGAGAUAAAUUCAUCUGCCUUGAUUACUUCGAAUUCGGCCAAGCGGUUUCGUUUUGCUGAUGCUCUAAGGAAACACACACCAAUUUCCUUUGCUAGCAGGAGCACAACAAACCUGAAAGGUGUUGUUGAAGAUUUAGAAACUAAGAUCGCGGAUAUGAGAGAGUUUGUCAUGCUCCUAGGCAGCUACCCUCGCCUACCUCGCCAGCCUUACAGUACAUAUCUGUUCAUGGAUAAGUGUAUGUUUGGUCGCCGUGUUGAGAAAGAGAAAGUCAUCGACUUCUUGCUUUGCAGUGAUCUUCCUGAUACAUAUGUCAGCAUUCUUCCAAUUAUUGGUCCACACAGAAUUGGAAAGAAAACUCUUGUGCAGCAUGCUUGCCAGGAUGACAGGGUGAAGAGCUGCUUCUCCCAUAUAUUUUUCUUUAAAGAAGAUGAUCUGAAGAUGGGAGAGCUGUUGCUUAACUCCAAGGCUUCUCCAGGGAAGUAUUUGUUUGUUAUUGAGUUCAUUUGUGAUGUGAAUGAGGCAGCAUGGACCAAAUUCCAAUCAUAUUUGCAGAAUAUGCCCAGUACUGAAAUUAAGGUUGUAAUCAUUGGUAGAACAGAUGAUGUUACUAAGUUUGGGACAACCCAACCCAUCAGGAUGAAGAGGCUGUCUGAAGAAGAGUACUGGUACUACUUCAAGGCACUUUCUUUUGGAAGCAUGAAUCCUGAUGAGCAUCCAAAGCUAGCAUCUCUGGGCAUGCAGUUAGCUACUGAGAUGAAUGGAUCAUUUCUUGGUGCAAAUAUACUAGGUGAACUCUUAAGAGCUAAUCCUAACACUCAAUUCUGGCAGAGUAUCUUAUUAAGCUUAAGAGGGUUUGUACAAAAGAACUUGUGUUGGUUUGGUGUACACCCUGAAGAUCUUCUUGAAAGAAAUACCCCUGUUGAUUUCACCAGGAUGGCCUUUCUUGGUGCUCAAGUUCAUGGUUGCCUGGUUUAUGAUCUUAGGGUCGCUGGCCCUGCACAAAAUCAGCUACCAAAACUAACGUCAAGAGAAGUGUUAUUGGGAGGUAAUAUUCCCGUCGAACAGAAGUUUGAUGUGCUGGUAUGGAAAUCUGGCAUUCCACCAUACUGUGAUUACAUAGCUACUUUUGAGAAACAGAAACCACGGCGUGUGGUUGGGAAGAGGAAUACCAUCUACCACUGAGAAAACACAAGCUCAAAUCUUAAUUUGGGGGAGAACUCUACAAAUUAAGAAAUUAUAUCGUCGUUGCAAGUGAUCUUUCAGCCAUUUCAUCUCCUUUUGGAUCCAGAAAUUUGAGAAGCGGCACACAACAGUGGAGGGGAAGGAAUCUUGAUAGGCUGAACAGCAUCCUUCUAAAGAUCCACACCAUCGUUGAGGUCUCAUGGCAGAUCACAACCUGAGGAAUGAUCCUCCAGUUUUGGCGCCUAUGGUAGGGUUAGGCUCACAAUGGACAUGCUCAUCUCUGCAGUUGCAAGUGAUCUUGUGAGCCGGUUCAUCUCCUACCUGGUCCAUAAAUCUGAGAAGCAGCACACGACAACAGAGCAGGACCUGGAGAGGCUGAAGAGUGUUCUCCUAAGGAUCUACACCAUAGUUGAGGAGGCGGAGGCACGACAAAUCAGGAACAGAGGAAUGAUCCUUCAACUCAAGGGUCUCAUGGAAGGUAUGUUUCUUGGGUAUUAUGUUCUUGACUCCUUCCAGUUCCAGUGUGUUGAAGAGGAGGGUGUAGAUGAAGAUCACCAGGUCAGUUGCAAGCGCCUUCGGUUCAGUACCUGCACAAGGAGCACUUCAUUGUUAUCACUCGGUACAGAGAACACACCUGUGCUUAAGAAUGUUAUUGAAAGUUUGGAGACCAAAAUUUGUGAUGUGAGGGAGCUUGUUGUGCUGCUAGCCAGUUGCCCUCGUCUUCCUCAGCAACCCUAUUGCACAUAUCUGUUCAUGGAAAAGAGUUUGUUUGGUCGCCAUGUCGAGAAAGAGCAAGUAAUCGACUUUAUACUACAUGAUGAUCAGAACCUGGCUGUCCUUCCUAUCAUUGGGCCUCACAGAAUUGGGAAGAGAACCCUUGUCCAUCAUGCUUGUCAAGAUGAACGGGUUCGUGGUCGCUUCCUGAAUAUUGUUUUCUUCCAUGGUGAUGAUCUUGGAAACAUUUCAUUAAUGCCUUCAACGAAAUACUUGUGCAUAGUUGAGUUCAGUUGGGAUGUUGAUGCGGAAGCAUGGAAGAUCUUUCGAUCAUCUAUGAAGAAGGCAGCUAUAAGUGGCAGUAAAGUCAUUAUCAUAGGAAGAACAGAUGAGAUUGCCAAGUGGGGAACAACACCAGCAAUCAGGUUGAACAGAUUGUCACCAGAAAUGUACUGGUACUACUUCAAGGCACUUUCUUUUGGAAGCAUGAACCCUGACGACCAUCCAAAGCUGGCUUCUCUAGGAAUGCAACUGGCAACAGAACUACAGGGAUCAUUUCUUGGUGCAAACAUACUUGGCCACAUACUAAGGGGUAAUCCAAGUGCUGAAAUCUGGAGUGGGUUCUUGAUGAGCUUGAGGAUGUCACGAAAGCGCUUAUCCAUCUUCGAGGAGCAUCCUCCUGAGAAGAACCACCCUUCUCAUACAGCUGAAGUAGCGUUCAUGAAUUAUCGAGGUUGUAUGUUGUAUGAUCUUAGGGAGGCUGGCCAUUUCCAGAGUGAUAUUCCCAGAUUAACACCAGCAGGAGUAGAGCUAGAAGGCAAAAUUCCUUGUGAUUUGGGGUUUGAUGUGCUGGUAUGGAGAUCUCAAAUCCCGCCAUUCUGCAACUACAUAGCUACAUUUUUGCAGCCAAAGCCCCGGCGCAUUGUCAGAAGGAACAAGAAUCCCCUGGCAGUUAGUAUUACUUAUCAAUCAUGAUCUUGUAUGAAGGACAUAUGCCCUCCAAUUUCUGGUCGAUCUGAUCAGAAUUCGGAUGGUCAAGAUCGAUUGGGAUGGUAAAGAAUCUAUAUGCAUAACAAUCACAGUAACCUGUAACUUGUUCCAGAUACUAGUGUACCUGUACAUCCGCUUCUUCUUCUUUUUUCUUUUCUUUUUUUUCUUUUUUUUUUGCUGGUUUGGAUGUGUGUAGUUUAAGGUAGUAAGGAAUUGAUGUGGGUUUUAAAAAAUAACAAUUAUUUCCUCGUUUCUUUUGCCCCA